rnacentral:rRNA from 1 species
UACGUAGGUGGCAAGCGUUGUCCGGAUUUACUGGGCGUAAAGAGCGCGCAGGCGGUCGUUCAAGUCGCGUGUGAAAGCCCCCGGCUCAACUGGGGAGGGUCACGCGAUACUGAUCGACUCGAAGGCAGGAGAGGGAAGUGGAAUUCCCGGUGUAGUGGUGAAAUGCGUAGAUAUGACAUAGAACACCAAUUGCGAAGGCAGCUGGCUACACGAAUAUUGACACUGAUGCACGAAAGCGUGGGGAUCAAACAGG